AAUGGACUCUACUCUGUAAUGAAGUAGAAUUCGAAACCUCUUGCAGAAUAACACAGGGUCUCUCAAUCAACUCCUAUUCCGAUAGAAGCAGAUUUUUACCACACACCAUCAUAUAUUUUAGUUUGAGCAUAUGAGGUUGUCCCAUUUUUGGAUCAUAUGGGGAUGCUUAGUGAGAGAGAAGGGU
rnacentral:ribozyme from 1 species